rnacentral:rRNA from 1 species
GAUGAACGCUGGCGGCGUGCCUAAUACAUGCAAGUCGAGCGAACGGACGAGAAGCUUGCUUCUCUGAUGUUAGCGGCGGACGGGUGUGUAACACGUGGAUAACCUACCUAUAAGACUGGGAUAACUUCGGGAAACCGGAGCUAAUACCGGAUGAUAUUUUGAACCGCAUGGUUCAAAAGUGAAAGACGGUCUUGCUGUCACUUAUAGAUGGAUCCGCGCUGCAUUAGCUAGUUGGUAAGGUAACGGCUUACCAAGGCAACGAUGCAUAGCCGACCUGAGAGGGUGAUCGGCCACACUGGAACUGAGACACGGUCCAGACUCCUACGGGAGGCAGCAGUAGGGAAUCUUCCGCAAUGGGCGAAAGCCUGACGGAGCAACGCCGCGUGAGUGAUGAAGGUCUUCGGAUCGUAAAACUCUGUUAUUAGGGAAGAACAUAUGUGUAAGUAACUGUGCACAUCUUGACGGUACCUAAUCAGAAAGCCACGGCUAACUACGUG